rfam:Ovis aries breed Texel chromosome 1, whole genome shotgun sequence.
UCCCUGGUGACUCAGGUGGUUAAGAAUCUGCCUGCAAUGCAGGAGACCCAGGUUCGAUCCCUGGGUUGGGAA